CAUUUUAUCUGAAUUGCCAGAUAUUGAAAAUAAGUGAUCGUUAUCAGUAUUUAUGUUUCAAAAGAUGUUUUAUUUCCCUAUAUUUUCUAAAUUAAUGUUAACUCUUCUCACUUGAAAUGCUUUAAAUUUAAUAUGCUAACUCAGAAUGCAACAAUCUUUAAAUCUGGGUGGAAGUUGAAGGUGAUAAGUUUGUUCUGUUUGUGUUCCCACUCUCUUAUCGGAUAUCCUUAAGAACUUUAAGAUGAUAUUACAUUUUAGAACCUCAGUUUUUGUAGAGCUUUGAAUUGUUAUGUUAAUGUUGCUUUUGUUUUAAUGUGUUAUUAGCAUGCACCAC
rnacentral:lncRNA from 1 species